CACCCCCCUGAGCGUCCCUGCAUCCCAGCACCCCCCACCCCAAAGGGACAUCACAGCAACCGCCCCAUAGGGACACAGAAACAGCCAUCGGGACCCCCACCCCAAAAACGCACAGAUCCGGGCUAUGUCUGCGCCGCUGUUUAAUGUCCCCAUCGCUCCUCUCACGGCUCUUUGCCGUCCCCCCUCUGUUCGCUGGAAGCUCCGCCGCUCUCAGCGCGGCCCCCCGAGCCAUCGGUGCGGCCCCUCCGGGACGUGGGGUCUCCCCCUGAGGCGCUGCUCGUGUCCUCCGGGGCUGCCACGGCGUCAAUGGCGGCGUGCUCCUUCCUCACCAGCUCCUGCAGCUCCUUCUUCCAGCCCAGCAGCUCUGCCAGUGCCAGGCAGCCCUCAUCGCAGUCCCCCAGCCAGGCCACGUCCCUGUAGGCUUUGUCCGAGUCGAAGUCCAUCCCGCAGCCGAAGCCCAUGAGGGACAUGAAGACAUCGCUCUGCCCUGUUUUCUCCUUGUUGAUGAGGAGCCUGGGGGUGCUGGCAGGGACCCUGCUAACAAGGGAGGCGAAGGGCUGGACCUGCAGUGAAGUGCCCAUGAUGAUGAGAAGAUCAACCUUCUGGAAGUCCGACUGCAGAAGACUGAAGAAGCGAGAUGGAAGAUUCUCACCAAAAAAUACGAUGUCUGGCUUCACCACGCUCUGGCAUUUGUCGCACUUGGGAACGAGGGAAGAGAAGAUUUUCUCCUUCACCCAGCUCAGGUCAUACUGAUGCCGGCAGGAGGAGCGCAGGCAGUGCGCGGUUUGGAAGGUGCCGUGAGCCUCCACCAACUCCUCGGGCUGCAGCCCCGCCACGCGCUCCAGCGUGUCGAUGUUCUGUGUGUAGCAGCGCAGCAGCAGCCCCUUCUCCUUCAGCAGCCGCAUGAAGUAGUGGCAAACGGUGGGCUUCAGCUGCCCUGGGAGCAGCUCCUUAGCCAACGCAAAGAAAGGCUCUGGGUGUUGCUUGAAAUAGCUGAUGUCAAAGAUGGCCUCGGGGUAGGGCAGUUCGUAGCGGCCCAGGUUGGCGUACAGCCCGGUUCCGGGUGAGCGGAAGUCGGGGAUUCCAGCGGCCGUGGAGAUGCCGGCGCCCACCAUGCACACCACACGGCGGCAGCGCUCGCUUUGCAUGAACCGGGCGAUUCCCGCCAGCGACAGCUCAUCCAGAACGCGCUCCGGCGGCUCCGUGCCCAACCCCAGCGUCCGUGCCAGGAGGUUCCGCAGCAGCUCCAUAUCGGAGUCUUCCUCGGAGCCGCCCUCAGCCUCAGCGUCGGGAUCAGCCCCGGGAGGGGGAGCGUCCGCUUCGGACAUGGGAACUCCUGGAGGCACUUCCCG
rnacentral:lncRNA from 1 species